rnacentral:rRNA from 1 species
UACGUAGGGUCCGAGCGUUGUCCGGAAUUAUUGGGCGUAAAGGGCUCGUAGGCGGUUCGUCACGUCGGUAGUGAAAACUCGGAGCUUAACUCCGAGCCUGCUUCCGAUACGGGCAGACUAGAGGUAGGCAGGGGAGAGCGGAACUCCUGGUGUAGCGGUGGAAUGCGCAGAUAUCAGGAAGAACACCCGUGGCGAAGGCGGUUCUCUGGGACGGUACUGACGCUGAGACGCGAAAGCGUGGGGAGCGAACAGG